rnacentral:rRNA from 1 species
GACGAACGCUGGCGGCGUGCCUAAUACAUGCAAGUUGAGCGCUGAAGGUUGGUACUUGUACCAACUGGAUGAGCAGCGAACGGGUGAGUAACGCGUGGGGAAUCUGCCUUUGAGCGGGGGACAACAUUUGGAAACGAAUGCUAAUACCGCAUAAAAACUUUAAACACAAGUUUUAAGUUUGAAAGAUGCAAUUGCAUCACUCAAAGAUGAUCCCGCGUUGUAUUAGCUAGUUGGUGAGGUAAAGGCUCACCAAGGCGAUGAUACAUAGCCGACCUGAGAGGGUGAUCGGCCACAUUGGGACGGAGACACGGCCCAAACGCCUACGGGAGGCAGCAGUAGGGAAUCUUCGGCAAGGGACGAAAGUCUGACCGAGCAACGCCGCGUGAGUGAAGAAGGUUUUCGGAUCGUAAAACUCUGUUGGUAGAGAAGAACGUUGGUGAGAGUGGAAAGCUCAUCAAGUGACGGUAACUACCCAGAAAGGGACGGCUAACUACGUG